rnacentral:rRNA from 1 species
CCUACGGGUGGCAGCAGUGAGGAAUAUUGGUCAAUGGGCGCAAGCCUGAACCAGCCAAGUCGCGUGAGGGAAGACGGCCCUACGGGUUGUAAACCUCUUUUGUCGGGGAGCAAGCCUGAGCACGUGUGCCCUGGCGGAGAGUACCCGGAGAAAAAGCAUCGGCUAACUCCGUGCCAGCAGCCGCGGUAAUACGGAGGAUGCGAGCGUUAUCCGGAUUUAUUGGGUUUAAAGGGUGCGCAGGCGGGCUGUUAAGCCGGGGGUAAAAUUUAGGGUUCAACCCUGUGUAGCCGUCGGUACUGGCAGUCUUGAGUGGGCGAGAAGUAUGCGGAAUGCGUGGUGUAGCGGUGAAAUGCAUAGAUAUCACGCAGAACGCCGAUUGCGAAUGCAGCAUACCGGCGCCCAACUGACGCUGAGGCACGAAAGCGUGGGGAUCGAACAGGAUUAGAUACCCGAGUAGUC